GCCCCUCAUGCGCACGCGCACGUUGGAAGCGUGGGGGUGAGCGCGUGUAGGGUGUGGAGGGGGAUGGCGAGGAGAACCCCUGAGGCGGGGCAGGUUGCUGAGCGGUGCCGCUGCGGGGAGCGGCGCUGGGCUUGAGGGUCAGGCGCUGUCGGAGCGCAGUUUAGCUCUGUGAAAUUGCGGCUGCUGCCAACCCUCUCUGCAACAGAUACUGAGCUGCAGCCUUCUCUGUGGGGGUGGGUGAGCGCAGCCUGGUGCCCAGUACCCCCAGGGGAGGGCUAACAUCUUCCUCGCUCGGGGAGAGUUCAGUCCCCGCACUGACUACCCUGCAGAAGUUAUCAUCGGAAGGGGGCCGCAGCUCUACUCCAACUGGUCAUGUUACUAGCAAACCAAACAGCAGUCUGGUAAAGGACAGAGAGACCAAUACUGAACGCCUAGUAUUUGCAUUACUCGCACUAUAUCUUCUGGAAAAAUCCCGUGUUAGUCAUCAUCCACACCACUGUUGGCAUCCUGCCAUCUCCCCCUCAAGGCUCGCAGGUUGGGAUACAGCCUUUAGAAUGUGUUAGGUUCAUAUAUAUUUAAGGUUUUAACCCCUUUUCCUUACUUGAACCUCCACACCCCACUACUUUGGGGUGCCCCAUUUUCCAUAGGUGAACUUGUGAGUUCCCCUUAUUAACAUUUACAUCACUUUAUCAUCAUAGUAACAGGCAGUUUACCUUAAGGAAGUCUCUAACAUUUCAUCCUAGCUACUAACGGUCAUCUCUUGUAGACACAAUAUUCCAAACACAGUUAUUUUCAAAAUAUCAGUAUAUCACAAACAGCUACAAGCUCAGCAAGUUUAUUAUUAACUUACUUAUGCUAAUUUAACUUUUUAAUAUAGCUAAUUUAUCCUAAGGUCUAAUUUGGCUAAGCUAAAUAUUUUACAAGCCUGAGACUUACACAUGAAUUAAUAUUUAUAUUUCAUCCCUAUGUCUUCAAUAUACCUGCUAUAUUUUAUCCUUGGUUACCGACCACAUAGCUAAAGCGUUUCAACAAAGGUUUGAGCAAGCUCAAACAAAUAAUCCUAUUCCUUUCCUCAUAUAGAAAGAUGUUGGUUUUGUAACCAACUACCCCUUUAAAUAUAGCAUUGCUCACAUUACUGUUUAUGCUAUAGAAUCUGUUAGACUCCAGUAGAGGUUAGGUCCCCAUUGUGCUAUGUGCUGUACAUACAAAUAAAGAGAUAGUGUUUACACUGACUAGCUUACAGUUUAAGACCUCAGUCUUGCAAACACCUACUCAGACUAGAAGUGUUUGCAGGAUUGGUGCCUGUGGCGAAUGUUAAGUAACGUGUUCAGUUAGUGUUAUUUUGUAUACGGAGUUAUAGGAAAGUGAAUCCUGUGGUUGGACAUGAAACAGUGACGUAACAUCUGAGGACUCUGUAAAUGCAUUUUGAUUGCUAGGAACCAUCUUAGAAUGUUCAGCUGAAUUCCAGCAGGUGUGGGCAAGGACCAUUGGAAGAGAGAAAGUAUAAACAGAGCACUUUAUAUAUAAUCUGUCCUAUACCUAAAACACACUCUCUUUUAGGAGUAAUGUAAAUAUAUUUUUCAAAUUUAUAUGUUUGAUUUUUAGAUGCAUAAAUUAAUUGGAUAACACUACCCAGAAUCAAAGAAAGAUUCUUUACUGAAAAUUUAAACAACUAUUAUUUCUUUUUUAAAGAAACACCACAACAUGAACUCAGGGGUUUAAAAUGUGAUGUUAAAAUGAUUGUGCUAAUAAUAGGAAGCUGAAGCUAAUGAACUGCCUAGACCAAUUAAUGAGGCACAGUCCCAACUUCUGUAAUUAAAGUUUAACUGCAUGACUUAACUGUUUCAGAUCUCUGUUUGCUCUAAUCUCCACUUUUCUGUUACUGUGGUUUCAUUAGAAUUUAGCUUUUAUAUGCGAUGUCUGGGGGAAGACUAUUAAGCAAAUUAAGAAGCUGGUUAUCACAUAAAACUUUGUUGGUAAAGAGAGAAACAUUUGCUAAUGCAUAGUAGAAAUAAUAACUCCAGAGUUUGCUGUAACUGUUUGCUGCUGGUUUAUGAUGUAAGAGUAUAUUUUGUGCAGGAUAGAUUAUAAAAAUUAUGACAAGAAUAUCCAUUUUAUUAAGUGCACUUAAUUUUGAGAUUUAUACUGUGAUAUUAGAUAGAGCUAAACACAAGGGAUUGCUUAUUAGUAUUAUUUAAAAGGAAGCAUAAGGUAGUAUGAAUAUGCAGUAACAUUUUUAUAAAGUAAAUAAUUUGCUACUGUUGUCAGUACGUAUUUGAUUUUCCAGAAGCCUAUAUCUGUAAUGAAAUGCCAAAUCUAACAUAGACAUUGCAGGACUGUUAAAAUCACUAUGAAAAUAUUCCAGCUAAUUUGAAUUUUUACGUACAGUGCACGUAAGUCAUAGCAGGAGCUGAUAAUAAGACUUUCCCCUUAAGAGUAUAUCUCAAGACUUUAAACAAAUCCUAACAGCUUUAAUCAAACUGAAUUAUUUUUACAUUAUAGUGACUUAGCCGAUGUCAUGGCAAAGGCUGUCUGAGCUCAUUGGGCUCAGCUGUGCAAAGUUUAUGUGAUGUUACUGGUUAUUUGUGAAGAUGUAAGAAAUUACUGAAUAAAUUAUACUCUAUGUCUGCA